AGCGCCAGUGCCUAGAGUAGCUGUUGACAUUAUAGUUGCGCAGGCACUUUGAGAACCUCUAGAGAACCUCAGGCCAAUUGCACGUCCCCUUGACGGAGACGACGCAUUCGGAUGUCUGCCCUAUCAACUUUCAAUGGACUUUCUGCGCCUACCAUUGUGACCACGGGUAACGGGGAAUCAGGGUUCAAUUCCAGAGAGGGUGCCUGAGAAACGGCUACCACAUCCAAGGAAGGCAGCAGGCGCGCAAAUUACCCACUCCCGAUGCGAGGAGGUAGUGACGACAAAUAACAAUACAGGAUUCUUUAGAGGCCCUGUAAUUGUAAUAAGUCCACUUGAAAUCCUUUAACUAGGAUCAAUUGGAGGGCAAGUCUGGUGCAGAGCGUCUGACCCAUGGGUGCU